GAGAGCACAGUACGAUGAAAGUUGUAAGCUGUGUUCGGGGGGGGGGGUUAUUGCCUAUCGUUGU
rnacentral:ncRNA from 1 species